rnacentral:rRNA from 1 species
UACGUAGGCAGCAAGCGUUGUUCGGAGUUACUGGGCGUAAAGGGUGCGUAGGCGGCUUUUUAAGUUUGGUGUGAAAUCUCCUGGCUCAACCGGGAGGGUGCGCCGAAUACUGAGAAGCUAGAGUAUGGGAGAGGAAAGUGGAAUUCCUGGUGUAGCGGUGAAAUGCGUAGAUAUCAGGAGGAACACCUGUGGUGUAGACGGCUUUCUGGACCAUAACUGACGCUCAUGCACGAAAGCGUGGGGAGCAAACAGG